rnacentral:ncRNA from 2 species
AGUGAUGAUAGAGGUGCAAGGUUAAAUAGUAGCAUAUUGGAGGGUGGACAAACCCUUUGAUGAUGUGCGAAAGGGAAGCUUGCCGAAGUGGAGUAUCGUUGUUUCCGAUACUUUACUGGUUUUGCAUUUAAGAGAUGUAAGACUGUCGAUUCUUGAUGUUUCGGAGAGCUAUCACACAU